GUGAACUAGCUAACUGAAAUUAUAAUUACUCGGGGGACUGAGAGAAGAUGUAAUAACGUAAUGGGCCCUAGGGCCAAUCCCUUUUUAUAGUUAUAGGGCGGUACCUUAUAAUUUUAAAAGGUGGACUUUAAAAACAUGAUAUGAUCAUUACUAUUAGUGCUGUCCAAAUCUGGUGCCAGAAGACUCGGUAAGGCCAGAAGCGCAUACGUUAGUCACAUUAAACAGGCGUAAAGGGUGUGUAGGCGGCUUUUUAAAACUGAUCUUUUAAGAUAACUACUUUAUAAUAUAUAUAUUAUAUAUUUUACUGAAAAAAAAAAGAAAGGCGACUAAAAGCUAGAAUCUUAUCGAGGUUAAACAGAAUAAUACUUAGUGGAGGGAUUCAAUCUCUAGAUAUUAGGUGGAAUACUAAUAGGUGUAAACUUUUAUCCAUUAAUGAUUGACGCUGAGACACGAAGGCGGGAAAAGGAAAUAGGAUUAGAUACCCAAAGUACCUCUCGCAGUAAACGAUGUAUAGUUUUCUAGGUAGUUUUUAAAACUGCUAUUGACGCUAACGCUAUAACUAUACCGCCUUGCGAGUACGGUUGCAAAACUGAAACCAAAAA
rnacentral:rRNA from 1 species